UGGUUCGUUCAUACCAUCCAGAACACAUCCGAUCCCAUUAGACCUCGGUAAUUAAGCUGGAUUGGGCGGGAAUAGUACUGCGGUGCAGGGUUAUCGAAAAUGGACCAU
rnacentral:rRNA from 1 species